ACGAACGCUGGCGGCGUGCUUAACACAUGCAAGUCGAACGGAAAGGCCCUGCUUUUGUGGGGUGCUCGAGUGGCGAACGGGUGAGUAACACGUGAGUAACCUGCCCUUGACUUUGGGAUAACUUCAGGAAACUGGGGCUAAUACCGGAUAGGAGCUCCUGCUGCAUGGUGGGGGUUGGAAAGUUUCGGCGGUUGGGGAUGGACUCGCGGCUUAUCAGCUUGUUGGUGGGGUAGUGGCUUACCAAGGCUUUGACGGGUAGCCGGCCUGAGAGGGUGACCGGCCACAUUGGGACUGAGAUACGGCCCAGACUCCUACGGGAGGCAGCAGUGGGGAAUAUUGCACAAUGGGCGGAAGCCUGAUGCAGCAACGCCGCGUGCGGGAUGACGGCCUUCGGGUUGUAAACCGCCUUCGCCUGUGACGAGGCGUGAGUGACGGUAAUGGGUAAAGAAGCACCGGCUAACUACGUG
rnacentral:rRNA from 1 species